rnacentral:rRNA from 1 species
UACGUAGGGACCAAGCGUUGUUCGGAUUUACUGGGCGUAAAGGGCGCGUAGGCGGCAUGACAAGUCACUUGUGAAAUCUCCGGGCUUAACUCGGAACGGUCAAGUGAUACUGUCGCGCUAGAGUGCGGAAGGGGCAAUCAGAAUUCUUGGUGUAGCGGUGAAAUGCGUAGAUAUCAAGAGGAAUACCUGAGGUGAAGACGGGUUGCUAGGCUGACACUGACGCUGAGGCGCGAAGGCGUGGGGAGCGAACGGG